rnacentral:rRNA from 1 species
CCCUUAGAUGUUCUGGGCCGCACGCGCGCUACACUGACUACUUCAACGAGUUGUUUCCUUGAUCGAAAGGUCUGGGUAAUCUUUGAAAGGUAGUCGUGAUGGGGAUAGAUCCUUGCAAUUUUUGAUCUUCAACGAGGAAUUCCUAGUAAACGCAAGUCAUCAGCUUGCAUUGAUUACGUCCCUGCCCUUUGUGCACACCGCCCGUCGCACCUACCGAUUGAAUGGUCCGGUGAAUCUUUAGGACUGUGGCUGAGGCCUUGCCUUGUGCGGGUCUGGCCGUGGGAAUUUAGUUAAACCUUACCAUUUAGAGGAAGGUGAAGUCGUAACA